UGGGGAAUCUUGCGCAAUGCGCGAAAGCGUGACGCAGCAACGCCGCGUGGGGGAAGACGGCCUUCGGGUUGUAAACCCCUUUCAGGAGGGACGAAGGUUCACCGGUGAAUAGCCGUGUGGAUUGACGGUACCUCCAGAAGAAGCUCCGGCUAACUACGUGCCAGCAGCCGCGGUAAUACGUAGGGAGCAAGCGUUGUCCGGAAUCAUUGGGCGUAAAGCGCGCGUAGGCGGCCCCGUAAGUCCGCUGUGAAAGUCAAAGGCUCAACCUUUGAAAGCCGGUGGAUACUGUGGGGCUAGAGUCCGGAAGAGGCGAGUGGAAGGCCUGGUGUAGCGGUGGAAUGCGCAGAUAUCAGGAGGAACACCAAUAGCGAAGGCAGCUCGCUGGGACGGUACUGACGCUAAGGCGCGAAAGCGUGGGGAGCGAACAGG
rnacentral:rRNA from 1 species